CGCUCGCUCGAGCUCGGCGCGGACCCGCCCGGGAGCGCUCCUCGCAGCAGCUGCCGGGGUCCCACCGCCCUACCGGGCGCGGGCGAUCAGACUACCUCGGAGGGCGCGCUCAGACACCCAGACGUCCGGCCACCUCAGUGGGUACACUCGGCACCCUGUGAUCCGACCACCCGCGGAGGCGCGCUAGCCCUCUGGGUGGGCGUGCUGGGCUUCUCUGCGGCGGAAGUCUGGACCACAGAUUGUGACUUCUUUUCUAGCAGUAGGUGUUGACUGGUCCGACUGCCGCCCUUCUGCCCGAGAGUAGUUCAAACUGAAGGGAAGAAAACAUUUGUGCUGCUUGGUCUGCCAUCUUAAACCAGAAGUCUGAAAUAUGGGUCUGAAUGCUGCUUCCAAGGAUCUCUUACAUUGAGGAUAGCAGGCACCAGAGACUCUCUACCAUAAACAUUUCCACAAGAAACGGUCUCUAAUUGAACCUGGAACUCACUGACUGAGCUAGAGUUGCUGUUGAGAAAGCCCCAGGAACUGUUUGGUCUUCUACCCCUCAAAAUUUGCGAUGCAGUGCCUCCUCAGGCCCAUCAAAGUCUUCCAGGAUCACACAGAAGACCACGCCACAGUCGGAAGUGAGGUAAACAAGUCUCCUCAUUGCUAUAUUUUGUAAUUAUCAGACAAGAACUCUUCAGGCGGAGUUCCCGCCUGAAGACCCUCAGGCCUGUGUGAAGCUUAACCAUGUAUGUACUCAAUGUAGGUGUGAUCGGUUUUCAGAUCCAUGCAAAUGUGAGCUGACCUUCCCCUGAUGUUUGCUGAGUGCAUGCCAACAGCAUUCUGCAUGGCUAACCUGCCUCAGCAACCAAAUCCCUGGAGCUGUCAUAUGCAGAGGGUCUGUGGUGUGGCCAUUUUAUAAAUGAGCCACGGGAAGGCCAGAGAAAGAAACAGCAUGCUCCAAGUCAGAGCAGAAGGCAGCUUCCCUAGGAUCUGUUUUAAUGUUUGCUUCUUUACAACACAGGAUCUCAUGAAACCCAAGCUAGCUUCAGACUCAACUGCAUAGCUGAGGAUACCCUUGAACUUGAUUUUCUAAUAUUUCUACCUCACACCCAGUUCAUGAGGUAAUGCAGAUAGAACCCAGGGCUUCCUGAAUACUAGGAAGGCACUCUACCAACUGAGCUACAUCCCCAGACCCUCCUCUGGGGAUAAGCCCAGGUUCAAAUCCAAGGCCUUAACAACACUGGGACACAGACUUAAGACACAGCACUCUACGGACACAGACUUAAGACACAGCACUCUACGGACACAGACUUAAGACACAGCACUCUACGGGACCUGGGCAUGCUCCUACCCUGUCUAGUGAUGGCAAAAGCCAUCUUUUUAACAGCCCACGUUAUGAUUCUACCAUCAGAUCAGAGAGGCCGUAGAUAGCCCAGCUUCCCAUUGUAAGUCAUUUUCGACCUGUUUAACCGAUGGCUAUAUGGGACUGCUAGAAAAAGUUUGGAAAUCACCAAGAGCUUUGACUUUCCUGCCCACAAAAACAGUUGGC